rnacentral:rRNA from 1 species
UGAAUCCUCCCUGAGACUUAGAGUCUCCUGAAGGAACGUUGAAGACGACGACGUUGAUAGGCCGGGUGUGUAAGCGCAGCGAUGCGUUGAGCUAACCGGUACUAAUGAACCGUGAGGCUUAACCUUACAACGCCGAAG